rnacentral:rRNA from 1 species
GACGAACGCACGCGGCGUGCUUAACACAUGCAAGUCGAACGGUAAGGCCCUUCGGGGUACACGAGUGGCGAACGGGUGUGUUACACGGGUGUGAUCUGCCCUGCACUUCGGGAUGAGCCUGGGAAGCUCGGUAUCAUACCGGAUAGGCCCACUGCCUGCUUGGAUGGUGGUGGAACGCUUUUGCUGUGUGGGAGGGGAGCGCGGCCUAUCAGCUUGUUGGUGGGGGGAUGGCCUACCAAGGCGACGACGGGUGGCCGGCCUGAGAGGAUUACCGGCCACACUGGGAGUGAGAUACGGCCCAGACUCCCACGGGAGGCAGCAGUGGGGAAUAUUGCAAAAUGGGCGCAAGCCUGAUGCAGCGACGCCGCGUGAGGGAUGACGGCCUUCGGGUUGUAAACCUCUUUCAGCACCGACGAAGCGCAAGUGACGGUAGGUGCAGAAGAAGGACCGGCCAACUACGUGCCAGCCGCCGCCGUAA